GAUGGGGCGAGGACGCGCGUCCCAGGAAAAAAUGAGGGUCUCACUUUGUUGUUCAGGGUGAUCUCAAGCUCCUGGCCUCAAGUGAUCCUCCCGCUUUUGGCCUCCCAAACUGAUGGGAUUGCAGUGUGAAACCACCGUGUUAAACUCUUUAGAUUUGACUGCUACAAAGGUAUAAAUGUGGAACUCCAUGUAUCAGUGGGUUCUGUCCCACUUCUUACUCCCAGGAAUUCUCCGUCCCAGCCUGCUGCUCCUGUCUUGCACCGGGAACAAACAUGUAUCCUGGAUGAAAAUAAACCAAGUCUAUUGAAACUGCAACCCAAGCCAUUCAGAAGAGACAAGGCUACAGUGAAUCUGGGAACUUUGCACGUGUUUGGAUGUGUUGAUUGCCUUAACUGGCAGCCCUUUGCACUGCCAGUUUCCCUCAAUUACAUGAGGAACCACGAGGGGGCAAUGUCUUCCCGAGCAAUAAUAGCUGAGUGGUGGUCUUAGGACCCCGUGGUGGCCCAUGACGCUAGCACUGUGUCUUUGGCCAUUCUUGCCUGUCAUGGAACAUACUCCACAGAAGGGCAUAGUCUUCUUGGAGCCUGCCAUGGGCCCAACAAAAAUGACAAUGUAGUAAUAGUUCCACUCAGACCUCACUUAGGAGCAGGAAGACUAUGUUGUGUGUUAUCAGGAUGCCGGGAGAACCUCUCCUAUCCCCACCCAGGGAAGCAUGGCUUAAUUCCAAAUAGAGAAUCUGAUUUCUUUGUCUUUAA
rnacentral:antisense_RNA from 1 species